rnacentral:tRNA from 1 species
UUCUUUGCAGCUCAGUGGUCGAGCACUUGUCUAGCAUCCAUGAGGUUCUGGGUUCCAUCCCCAGCACCACCAGAAA